GGAGCUGUGGCUCAGAGGCGAAGAGCACUGACUGUGGAUCCAGAGGACCCUGGUUCAAAUCCCAGCUACU
rnacentral:tRNA from 1 species